CUUCCAAACAUUAUCUUUGAAGGGCACAGACUUCUAAUAUGAGCAGCAUCCACAGGGUUGGUUCUCAUCAUCAGUAAGAAUGUUCAGUUGAAGCCAUCGAGUUCCUCCAUGCCAAGGGUUGGAGGGGUCAUGUGAUGCAAGUGAUGUGAAGAUGGCUUGGGGAGUGAAGAGAGGUGAAGGCCAUGAAUGUGUUCUGUCUUCUACCUCCAGAUAACCAGAAAGGUAGCUCCUUACUUUCAUUAUUGUUGGGAAAAGAUAAGGAUAUCAAAUCAAUAAGAUCAUAUAAAUAUUUUUCACUAAUCAAAUCAAUAACAUUAUAAAUAUUCUUCUUUAGGUCAACUACAUGAUAUCAAAUAUCAUCAAAACUAACUCAUGGCCCAGAAAAUAAUCACUUAAAUCAACCAUCAAAACAUGUAAGAUUUCUUCUCCUAAUAUAGCCUCUUGGAGCCUAUGACAUCUUCUUUUUUCUCCCUUAUUUUUCUAUUUAUAUCAAACUCCAUUGGUUACAUCACUUGCCAAACGAUAACAAUUAUUAGAAUCAAAGAAAGAUGAUGAUUGAUUCCUUUUUUCCCAGCAGAUGAAAUAUCUUCAUCUGAAUAUUAAUAUGUGAAUGGAUAUUAUUCAUUCAGCUUAUCACUCUGAAGUUUAUCUUAGGUGCAAUGAGGCCGCAACUCCACACAUUUUUGCCCAGAAAACACAACAUAAAGGUGG
rnacentral:lncRNA from 1 species